CGUAUACACGUCUGCCUUCCAGAUUAAGGUACUCCAAAAGUUUUGAUCUGGCUCCACUCUUCCUCUUUUCAUAAUUUUUAGACUCCCACCACAUUGUUGAGAUGAUGAUCAUCAAUUAUUGACAAUGACAGUUAUCUUUUACAGAAUAACACAUAGCAAAGCCAAAGUUUAUAACAACUUAAAAUGCAAACUGAAUCGCCAUGUUCUUAACCCUAAAGGCGCAUACAAGAGACUACAACAACAAAUUAAGACUCGUUCUCAACGAAGUUAGGUCACCUACAUGAAUUCUUUUUCUUCACUCUCUUUAUUGCUAGACCAAUUGAAGGAUCUACAACAACUAGAACAAGCCAUUUUGUUUUGAUCUACCAUACUGCCUUUAGAGAUCAUGCUCUAACAAAUGGGAGCUUCUUUAGACUUGCAUACAACAUGUACAAACCACCUUAACUGUCUUUCCCUUGAUUUAUCCUCAUUCACUACCACCUCCACUUAUUGACUUUUGUUCUCAAUUAUUAUUUCAUCCAUUUUAGUAUGAACACACAUCAAAGAGACAUAAUAAAUAGACUAAAUAAAUAAAAUCAGUGCCUAAGAAAAAAUAGAUAUUUACAUACCAAAAAGGCCUAUUCAACCGCAAUAAGCUAAUGCCAUUGGGAAAAAGGGACCAAAAAGAUAUUGUUCCAGCAAGAAAGGAUGUAUCAUUUGCCCAAAAAAUAAAAUAAAAAUAAAAUAAGAAAAGAAAAAUCUGCAACAACCAGCAGUUGACUUUAAAAAAAAACACUAUCAAGCAUCUUAUAAAUAUGGGAAAACUAAAAUGUGAAUGAAAGGGAUGGACUCAGAAUUUCAGAUGGGAUUCUUUUAAAAAUAUUUAAAUGCUUCAGGUACUCAACUUAAAUCUUGAUUGAUGUGAUUGCUUAACUAGCUGCCAGAGACCUAAUCACAAUGGUAAGAAAAAGAAGGCUAAGGCCUUGAAAUGUAGAGAUCUCAUGUGCAUGGAGCAAAUAUGUAGGUUUCCACUUCUGCAAGUUGAUUUUCAUCCCUCAUUGUAAUUAUUUGGUGAUAAUGGUGAUUGUGCAAUAUAAAUGUAUCCUGUGUUUAAAAAAAAAAAAAAAAUAGAUGGAUUAGCAUGAUCUAUUAACACCAGAUUCAGGGGAAAAAAACUCUAUGAAUGUUUUGACUGCGAUGGACAUAGCUAUUUUGAUCCGAGAUAUAUAGAAACUAUGAUGCACCGACGCGGACACGUGUGUCUGACACGAUACGUGUUGGAUACGUCGAAUCGUUUUUCAAAAAAAGUACCGACACGUAUAUUAAAUUCUUUAAAAUUCUUCAUUUAUGUAGUUUAAAUUUAGUUUUAUACUUAUUAUUGAUUUUUCUUAUUGAAAUUUUUUAAAUAUGAGUACUUAUUUGUUAU
rnacentral:lncRNA from 1 species